UGGGCUGAAUCCGGCCCUACCGGUCUGGGGGACCGAAGGUCGGGAGUUCAAAUCUCCCCAGCCCGA
rnacentral:tRNA from 1 species